CCUGGCUCAGGAUGAACGCUGGCGGCGUGCCUAACACAUGCAAGUCGAACGGAGUUAUUCGCUGAUGAAGCUUCGGCAGAAUCUUGAAUACUUAGUGGCGGACGGGUGAGUAACGCGUGGGUAACCUGCCUCAUACAGGGGGAUAGCAGUUGGAAACGACUGAUAACACCGCAUAAGCGCACAGUGUCGCAUGACACAGUGUGAAAAUAUUUAUAGGUAUGAGAUGGACCCGCGUCUGAUUAGCUAGUUGGUGAGGUAACGGCCCACCAAGGCGACGAUCAGUAGCCGGCCUGAGAGGGCGGACGGCCACAUUGGGACUGAGAUACUGCCCAGACUCCUACGGGAGGCUGCAGUCGAGAAUUUUGGGCAAUGGACGAAAGUCUGACCCAAGCAAUGCCGCGUGCGGGAUGAAGGUCUUCGGAUUGUAAACCGCUGUCAAGAGGGACGAAAAAUGACGGUACCUCUGGAGGAAGCCACGGCUAACUACGUGCCAGCCGCUGC
rnacentral:rRNA from 1 species